CCCAAAGCCACGAGCUGUGAUAAACCAUGAAGAAGUUGUGCAUCGUUCUUGCCGUCAUUCUGCUGUCUUCGGCUAUGCUGGCAGAUGCUCAGGGCUUUCCUGGCCGCGGUGUGGGUGGUCGUAGAUGUGGUCGACAAGUCUGUCGGUUUGGUCAACGCUGCGUUGAGGUGCCAAUUCGAUGCUUCAGAGCACCCUGCCCGCGGCUGUUCAGAUGUGUCUGAAGAAGCAACUCACAAGCAGAAUGACUUAUUCAUUCGAAGUACUGGCGCGAGUUUCCAGCAGAGGGAAUGAAGAACGAGAGACUGGAUGAGAAAUGGUUUUUCUAGUGCAGUGCCCAGUAAAGCAUUAUCCAGUCCUCGUUCUUUAUAUUUGUCUUGAAAAAGUGGCCACCAGAUCUUCAGUGUUGUGAAUAAACGUAAACAGA